AAAUUAAACAAAAUAAUUACAAAAACAAGAACGAUUUUCUUAUUCCUCCCACCGUGUCCCUCUUCUUUCUAAACCCUAUCUCUCAAACAUCUCUCUCAAAAAUGGAUUCCUUCUUUUUCUUCUCUUUGCUAGUCUGCCCCUUCUGAAACGGCACGGACUCAAAACUCCCUGAGCCUAUACCUGGUGAACUCCUUGGGGCUGAGAAGAAAGCUUAGCCGGAAGGACGACGGGAGAUGAUCGUUCGGACAGGAGAUGUGGACGAGUUUUAGCCUAGCUCCCAGAAUAAGGUACCGGGACCUCAUUGAGCACAAGAUUUGAGCGGCCUAUUGCCCUCGCCCAUAUUCGUUGUUUCUAUCUGCUAUCUCUCUCAAUAAACUCUCCACUCAAUCACAAGUAUUUCGUUUUUUUUUCUGGUGUUCUCUUGAGUGGUGUUUUUAUCUUAUUAAAUCAAUGAAGGGUUAUUAUGCUUUGCAUAGUAUUGUUUCUAAGAUUUGAUUUUACACAAAGCAAUGUAAGCUAUGAUUGGAGGGCUUGUAUAUAUUAUCAUUAACAAGCUAAGGACUCCAUGUGCUACCCCAGUUUUCUUUGCAGUGUUUGAAAAAGUGAUUGAUUUGCUGACUUGCAAUUGAUUGGAGUAUAGGAGCUUGAGUUAAAGAAAAUCUUUGUUCAACUUUAUCUGUGUUUUUUCUUGGUGGACAAGCUAAGCAUUUGACUCAACCCAAGGCUGAGAAGAAAGAAGACAGACUUCAAAGAAACUAUUUUGCAACAGUUUGCAAGAUGCUAAAACUCUACUUGGAUAUUUAAGAGAACCAAGACAAUUAUAUAAGAGAACCAAGGCAACACGAAAUUCUUCUUCAAGUUGUUGGGUAUUAUUUUAUUUCUUGCUUGUAAGAAUUAUGUACAGUGAAGAUUUGAUGUAUUAUUUACAUCGAGAAUAAUAAAUUUUUAUUGAGAAUUAUAAUGAAUUUUCAUUAAGACUUAUUUAGUCUCAUGGGGA